AUUGAACGCUGGCGGCAUGCCUUACACAUGCAAGUCGAACGGCAGCACGGGAGCAAUCCUGGUGGCGAGUGGCGAACGGGUGAGUAAUAUAUCGGAACGUGCCCAGUCGUGGGGGAUAACGCAGCGAAAGCUGUGCUAAUACCGCAUACGAUCUAAGGAUGAAAGCGGGGGAUCGCAAGACCUCGCGCGAUUGGAGCGGCCGAUAUCAGAUUAGCUAGUUGGUGGGGUAAAGGCCCACCAAGGCGAGGAUCUGUAGCUGGUCUGAGAGGACGACCAGCCACACUGGAACUGAGACACGGUCCAGACUCCUACGGGAGGCAGCAGUGGGGAAUUUUGGACAAUGGGCGCAAGCCUGAUCUAGCAAUGCCGCGUGCAGGAUGAAGGCCUUCGGGUUGUAAACUGCUUUUGUACGGAACGAAACGGCCCUUUCUAAUACAGGGGGCUAAUGACGGUACCGUAAGAAUAAGCACCGGCUAACUACGUGCCAGCAGCCGCCGUAAUAC
rnacentral:rRNA from 1 species